rnacentral:lncRNA from 1 species
GACAGUCCAGUGAUGGUGGAGUGGUGAUCUGAUGGUGGAGGGCUAUGGGCUUUUAGCAAAAAAGAGGGGGAGAAAAGAGUAAGAAAAGAAAAUAAGGUAGAGGAAAAGAAGGAUCUACGGUGGCUCGCAACGAGAAUUGACGACAGAAGGGAGGAGGAGCAAGGAGGGGUCAUGCUUAUGGUGGCUAAAAGGUGUGUUGAUGGUGGUACAAUGGUCGGUUGUGGUGGAGGAAGAGCAAAGACUAAAGAAAAAUGGGUGGUGGUUCUUUUUUUUUUUCAAGUUGAGAGAAAAUAGAGGUGAAAAAAAUAAAAAAAUAAAAAGAAUAUGGGAGAAUGAAGAAGGUAUAGACGGCAAUGGGAGUGGUAAGCUUGGUCAACUAUGACCAGGUUUAUUGAAUCAGGACAAAUAGGCAAGAAGAAAGGUUUUG